GCCAGGCGAAUGGGGCGUCGACCCCGACUUCUCAUCGGGCGGUUACGGGUUCGAGUCCCGUGGUCGGCUCCA
rnacentral:tRNA from 1 species